rnacentral:rRNA from 1 species
CCCGUACUUGGUGUUACUGCGAAGGGGGGACGGAGAAGGCUAUGUUGGCCGGGCGACGGUUGUCCCGGUUUAAGCGUGUAGGUGUGUGUUCCAGGUAAAUCCGGUUCACUUUAACACUGAGGCGUGAUGACGAGGCACUACGGUGCUGAAGCAACAAAUGCCCUGCUUCCAGGAAAAGCCUCUAAGCAUCAGGUAACAUCAAAUCGUACCCCAAACCGACACAGGUGGUCAGGUAGAGAAUACCAAGGCGCUU